rnacentral:rRNA from 1 species
UAGAGUUUCUUUCUGGCUCAGGAUGAACGCUAGCUACAGGCUUAACACAUGCAAGUCGAGGGGAAACGGCAGCUUAGCUUGCUAAGCUGGACGUCGACCGGCGCACGGGUGAGUAACGCGUAUCCAACCUUCCCUGAAGUAGGGAAUAAUCCGUAGAAAUGCGGUCUAAUGCCCUAUGUGGUUUGACGAUGACAUCAGAAUUAAAUUAAAGACUUGUCGCUUCAGGAUGGGGAUGCGUCUGAUUAGGCAGUAGGCGGGGCAACGGCCCACCUAGCCGACGAUCAGUAGGGGUUCUGAGAGGAAAGUCCCCCACAUUGGAACUGAGACACGGUCCAAACUCCUACGGGAGGCAGCAGUGAGGAAUAUUGGUCAAUGGCCGCGAGGCUGAACCAGCCAAGUAGCGUGCAGGAUGACGGCCCUAUGGGUUGUAAACUGCUUUUAUGCGGGGACAAAGUUCCUGACGUGUCAGGUUUUGCGGGUACCGCAUGAAUAAGGACCGGCUAAUUCCGUGCCAGCAGCCGCGGUAAUACGGAAGGUCCGGGCGUUAUCCGGAUUUAUUGGGUUUAAAGGGAGCGCAGGCCGUCGGUUAAGCGUGUUGCGAAAUGUAGGCGCCCAACGUCUGAAUUGCAGCGCGAACUGGCCGACUUGAGUACGCACAACGUUGGCGGAAUUCGCCGUGUAGCGGUGAAAUGCUUAGAUAUGGCGAAGAACUCCGAUUGCGAAGGCAGCUGACGGGGGCGCAACUGACGCUCAUGCUCGAAAGUGCGGGUAUCGAACAGGAUUAGAUACCCUGGUAGUCCGCACGGUAAACGAUGGAUGCC